AGAAUUUGAUUUUGAUACUACAAUCCAGUUUGUCACUAUUCCAUACACAACACAUGUAAUCUUCCAAUUGAGCAGUUAAAAGUAGUUAAGUCAGAGCCAUCUUAUGUGGUUCUAUUCGAAUUUCUAUUUCCAAGUGAUCGAAAAUGUUCCUAUUGUGGCACCUAGGCAUACAUACAAAAUCACUUAUACAAUUACAUACAAACAUGUUAAUAUCUUAGUAUUAAACUUUAGCACAAGCAGUGCUGCAUUGCAUUCCCUCCAAGAAAUACAAAAAUCCUAACACCCUUUCAUGAUAUCAGAAAAAAAUCUGGAGAAACAGAAUGCCAUGUCUGCAAGGUUAAGUUUUAAGCACAUGUCGAUGAACAAAUCCAAAACCUUUCUGCCCAGGUCUGGAAGAGAUGUAGACUAUAAAAUACAGAUCAGAACUCACCCAGUGAAUUAUACCCAAAAAUAAAUCAAGGCCAAGUCAUGUAUUUGUGCCUUCACCACACAGUUUACCUGACUGAAUCUGAAUAUGCUUGUUCAGACAGUCAGAACCACACACAGAGCAUUGGACAAAACCUCAACACUGAACCUUUCCUGAGUUUUGAAGUGGACAGUAAUUUUCCAGAGAGCAUAGAGGUAACCAUAGUAACAGUGAAAUGGCUGAGGUGCAUGAUGUAUCCCAACCAAAGGGUAAUCCACAUUUAACUGGGAAUAAGCACAGGCACAUGUAUAUCUAAGCACAUGUGUCUUUAAUUUAUAGGUCUAAGUGUCUACCACUAUAUGGUAAUUUAUAUGGUAAAUUAUGACUUUUUAAUGUCUCUGAAACAUGAGCGCCAAAUGAGGUACAAAAACAUGAAGGAAAUUUAAGACUUAAGCAGUCAAUGAGUAAUGUUUAACAUUUCAUUCUUUCUUGAUCCUCCUGUUUAGUACAGUCAAAAAUAAUUUAAUAAAUAUACCCUUGUGGAGUUACAAGAUAACAGUGAGUAAAUGAUAUCUCCAGGAAAAUUAUCUUUCUGCUCUCUUUACAAUUUUUAAUGCUUGUUAACUUAUUUCUUUACUAUACAAUAUGUCACAGGAACAAAAUGCAUUUAGAGGAUUGUAUAAUUUGGAAAGAUUAAGAUGUAGACUAGAGGCAACGGUAUUCAUUAAGACCUCAUAAAUCGGCUACAGUGGUUCAACAGUCUUGGCACUUAACAGAGCCAAGGUGAAGCUACCAAACAUAAUAAAAUAAACUGUAGACCAUAAAUUUAAACCUAAUUCUGGAACAACGGCUGGCUGAGGAACAAACCAAUUGAAUAUAUUUUUAAAGCUUUUUUAAAAUGUUGUAGCCACAGGUACCAAGAGUAUUUUUGCUUGGUUGCCUGUUAUUUCUGACCUUGUAGUGUAUCACUACAUUUUACCCUUAAAAGCAAAACAAAAAAUAUGAAAGUAUCAAAUUCAAUGUAUGGUGAUGUACACAGCAAAAACUAAGUGAUUGAUUGUUAAAUGAGAAGGAAAACAGUCAAACUUUUAACCAAAAUGUUAUCUAUAACUGGAGCCAGUUAACACACAUGGUAACACACAUACCUUAUUGCCUGUAUUUCAAAAUAGUUUCUCCUCUUCUAAUGAAGUUCACUAGGCCAAUCUGGUCAGAGAUGAAAUGGAGCCCCUAUCCACAUUGUACAGUGGGAAAAUAACCAUGUAGACUAACCAUGGUACAGAAGGAAAGAUUUUUUUUUAACUUCAUGAAAAGAAAUGUUCUGCAAGACAGGGUACAGGGUUUUCCUUGAAGUGUUGUUAGUUCCAUAUAGAAAAGACCAAACACCAGUGAAAGGUCCAACUCCUGAAACCAACAGAAAGCAAAAGCUUUGACAAUAGAAGAAGAGGGAUUGAAAGAAGAAACUUUCCCCACCAUACAACAACAUACUUAGGUUGACACCCACUAUUACUUCAACCCAUGGGCCAUAAUAGCAGAAACAACCCAUUGACAUCAGCUGAGAAUUUUGACGGUCCAGUGGAUCAGUAUUAGUUUGGGGUCCACCACCUAGCUCUCUGGCCUUUUCCCAUCAGAGUGCAUUGUAGAAGUCCUCUCCACAAAAGAACAUAGAGAGUCUCUUUGUAUGAAAUCUGUCUUGUUUGCAGUCUAAGUAUGGGUGACUGGUGCCUCCUGAGACUGGGGCGGCAGUUUGCGGGUGGCAGUGGCAGUGGCGGGGUGGUGAGUGGUGACCAUCCGCAGAAGCUGGAGGCAGUGGCAUGGUGAGCAGCGAGCUCCCACAGAAGCCAGUGGCGGCAGCAUGGCAAGCAGCAACCACCCACAGAAGCCGGCGGCAGAAGUGGCAGCGGAGGUGUGGGGAGGUGGUGAGCGGUGACUGCCUGCAAAAGCUGGUGGCAAUAGUGGCAGUGGCAGUGAGAGUGGCAUGGCAAGCGGCAACUGCCUGCAAAAGCCGCCGGCUGUGGCAGUCAAUUUCAGGGAGGGCAUGUGCCCCCCCUACCAGUCACCUAUGGGUCUAAGUACCUCUGUCACCCACUUAAAUUAUGGCCUCGUGUUAGUCACCUAAUACAAUAGGUGACUUUAGGACCUUAUGGUUGCAUCCACAUGUACAGACAUAUGUAGUUUGUAGCACUGCAAACCUCUUUGUAGCCAACAUACCACAUGACACAUCACCUGAACAAAGAAGAAGAGGUUAAUAUCAUAUAUUUGGACUUUAAAAAAGCUUUUGACCUAGUUUCCCAUGAUGUCCUCAUGGCAAAAUUGGGAAACUGCAGCCUCGACAGCCCUACAGUCUGAUGGCAGGGGAACUGGCUCUGAGGUCGGACCCAGAGAGUGGCAGUUGAUGGAACCAAAGCAACAUGGCAUAUAGUGACCACUGAUGUCCCCCAAGACUCCGUUCUUGGACCUGUACUCUUUAAUGUAUUUAUAAAUUAUCUGGACUCUGGUGUCAGAAGUAGACUUGCUAAGUUGGCUGAUGACACCAAACCAUGGGGAAGAGUGGCCACACCUGAGGAUAGGCUGGUGAUCCAGGCUGACCUCAGCAGGUUCGCAAGGUAGGCAGAUGAAAACCUGAUAGAGAGAAAAAACUCGCAUCAAUAUGGAGAGAAAAAACCCACAUCAAACUUAGACGCUCAGCAGUGCUACACUCACUAGCACCACAACUGAAAGAGACUUGGGGGUCAUGAUUGAACACAAGAUGAACGUGAGUCACCAGUGCGAUACCACAAUCGGCAAAGCAAACAAAACUAUGGCUUGCAUCUACCGAUGCAUCUCAAGCAAGACCCAGGAAGUCACUGUCCCACUGUACUCAGCCUUGGUGAGGCCACAGCUAGAGUACUGUGUCCAAUUCUGGGCUCCUCAAUUCAUAACGGAUGUAGAGAAGCUUAAAAUAGUCCAGAGGAGAGCCACACACAUGAUCAGAGGGCAAGAGGGCAUGCUUUAUGAAGAGAGGCUGAGAGCCAUGGUGCAGCAUAGGCUCAGGGGUGACUUGGUGGCAGCCUAUAAGUACAUAAGAGCUGUGUAUCAGGAACUGGGAGAGCAUCUGUUCUCCAGGGCACCAGGGACUGUUGGAAGACAAGGUCUAACCCUCACAAACUCCUGGAAAACCUUUUUAGGCUGGACAUAAGGAAAAACUUCUUUACAACCUGAGUCCCCAAGACCUGGAAUAGCCUCCCCCAGAGGUGGUGUAAGCACCUACUGCGGACACCUUCAAGAAACAUUUGGAUGCCUAUCUUGCUUGCAUCCUUUGACCCUUGCUGACUUCCUGCCCCUGGGGUAGGGGGCUGGACCUGAUGAUCUUUUGAGGUCCCUUCCAGUCCUAAUGCCUAUGAAAUCUAUGCCUGGAAUGUUAAAACAUGCCCUGCACUUCAAAUUUGCAGCAUGGGGGUAAAUUUUGCUACCAGGAAAUGCUGGUAGCAAAAAUAAAUGGUGUGAAAAAAAGAUAUGGCACAUACAAGAGGAGUGUGUACUGGCAGACAGAGAGGCUUGGUCCUCUUGGGAGAUGCUCUGACUGCUGGCCAGAGCUCUCCACUCCUUUAGUUGUCCCCCGGCUCCUCCAGCAUGCCAAGAGCCAUGAGCAAGGAGAAGGCAGUUUCCCUGAGGCAGGGCAAUUUGCCCCACACCAAAGUGCAUGUUCAGAGGCAUGCACUGCACCAGAAAGUACUGGCACGAAUUUGUGCCACUACUGUUUUGAGGCUGCAAGUGCACCCCUGCAUGCGAGGAUGUGCCCUAGGACUUUAUUUCAUUUGCCAAGGUGUCUCAUAUUGCAUUAGACUCUACUCAGGACCCAUUAUUGCUUCAACAAAUAACAUAAACCAAAGCUGGUAUAGGUUUCAGUUAGCAUUAGGGCUACAUUUUGAAGUACUCUUGAGGCACAUUUACACAAGACAUGUUAAUGUGCCUGAGCACAAAUUACUGCAGAGUAAGGGCUCGUGUCUACAUGUGCAUGCCCUUCCUGCACAGUAAAAAUGGUUAAUCAUGACUAAAUUUGAUACCUGCAAAUGCAGGUAUCAAAUUUAGGCACUAUUUGUUAAAGCACAAUAAUGCACAUAUAGACAUGACCGGGCACUAACUUUAGUGCCAGGUCUGCCUAGACACUAGGGGACCACCCUGAACCCAACCUCAGGGCUCCUGGCUGACUGCUUCUCCUUCCCCAGGGCUGGGAUGCUCUGUGGAAGCCCCUAGCUACAGGCUAUAAACGCCUGUGCCCAUUUUGUGCCCUGGGGCACAUACACCAGGACCUUGGAGCACUUCAGGCCCUGUGUGCCCACCUGGACAGAAUCCAGGCUGCCUCUGCUAGUCCUGUCCCCUAGCCAGAGAUGCUUCUUGGCCACAGGUGCUGUGUCCCAUUUGCUUCUGCCAUGUGGCUCCCGGUCACUGGCCAUGCCCCUCUGAUGAGCACUCCUGUGCAGUAUCCAGGGACAGCCACCAGGGAUAGCCACACAGGGACCCAGAAAGCCGGUGUAGGAUGCACCACCAUGUCCUCCCCAUCUUCCCUAUUGAGGACCAGCCUUACUUGUGUGCGCAUGCCUGAGCCUUCCACCCGAGGCCCCACGUGGAGCCAGGAGGAUAUUAGCAACCUUGUGACCUUCUAGGUUAAGAGGUUAAGAGGCAGUUCACACAGGAUGGGCACUCAAACACCCAUAUUUAUGAUGCCCUGUCAGGUGGCAUGCGAAAGCAAAGGUACUCCUGGACUGUGUGGUAGUGCUGUAUAAAGAUCAAGACCUUGUGGGCACAGUGGGUGUCCCUGACUGACAACAAUUGUCCAGAGUCAUGCCCACAAGACCAUGCCCUUUAUGCAGCAGCUAACCAAUAUUUUGGCAACCCAGGGCCUAGGACACAACCCUGCAGUUUUCACCAGUAGGGGGGGCCUGCCUAAGCCCCCACCCCAUCCUGACCCCUCCGGUGGUGACACCUCCCUAGAGGAGUGGCCCUUGGGUGUUCAGUGCCUUGUCCCACCCACCUCCCCAUCUGCUGUACCCACCAGCAGCUCAGGGAGCCCUGGACAGUGGCUGCCUUGCCAGCUCCACACUCCCAGACCCCACCAUGAGAAGCAGCUGGCCAUGACACCGCUAGUUGCCAGAAGUGCCAGCUCCUCUCCAUGGGGGUGGGGGGUCCUGCCCGGACACCAGCCUGCUACAUACCACAGGCUGCAGACACUGGGUGCAGCUGGAUGCCAUCACUGACAGGGAGGCCCACGCCAAGCUAGCAGCCUCACCUGCCCUGGACACAUGGUAAGUCUUGCACUGGGGAGAGGGCCCUCCCAGUUCCCACCCCUUUCCCUGCUCCUGACCCUGGCCUUUGCCUCCCCACCCAGACUGCCUGCGCUCCCCUGGCCAUGGGUUCCCCCCCACCAGCACACAGAGAGGUGAGACACAGUUCAAAACUUCAUUCAGCAGUCCAUAUCCCCACAGCUGGGUAGGCACUGGCCUCUCUCACCCUGAGGAAUGUGUUGAUGUUGGCAGCUAUAUCCUCCUCAGCAGUUGGGGGCAGGAAUGUGUAGUACUGCCCAGGUAGCUCUUCUGGCAGUGGCAGAUGUUAUGGGACAGCCUAGGCAUGCCCCCAUGCCAUCAUAGUACAGAUUUGCCUGGGGCAUCAGGAGGAUCAUCAGCAACAGGGCAUAGUGCUUCAGGUACCCCUCAGCCUGCACAGACAGUUCACUGGGCACUGCCCAGCGCACACACAGUGGGGGCACACUUGGUGCACAGCAGCAGCAUGGCAGGGGGCCAGCCACAGAGUGCCUCUCUAGAGAGGCCUCCAGUAGGGAGGGUGGUGGUGCAUCCAGCCUCUCACCCCACUUGUCCAGGAGCCCUAUAUGCACUGAACCCAAGUGCCAUAGGCCGGGGGGGGGUGGGAGGGGGCAGGAGAAAGAGGGAGCAUGAGGUCUGGAGCCACAGCAGGAGGUGCUGCUAGCAGCCUGGCCUGUCCUACCCUGGUAAAGGGGCAUGGGAUGCAGGCUGCCUGCAGCCAGUACGCAGUGGGCCACCAGCCCCAGGGGAGCAAGUGUGGAUGGGGAGGCUUGACCAGUAGAUACUUGGGCCCAGGCCUGCCCAGUUGAAUUACCAUGGUCCCUGGGCACCUGUGCACAGACAGGCCCACGUUUGAGGCUGGGCAGCGCACGGCCUCUGGUACAGAGCAUCUUAUCUCUGAAAUGUUUUAAACUCUCAAAAAAGGCUUCUGUCUCUUGCCUCUGCAGGGCCAACUUCUGGAAGUGGGGGAGAGCCUACCAGCCACAGCAGAGAUGGCGGCUCCAAGUCGCUGGUAUCCAGCACUGGAGCCACCUGGUUCUGCCAGUGGCUCACCAUGGACCAGACUGUCCUACUCUAGCAGCUGGUGGUGGUGGCAGAGGAGUGGGAGGGGUGGGAGUGGGAAGUGCAGGAGCAGGCCGGCAGGUGGAGGAUGUCACCCAGGAAGAGGUGGAUUCUUGGGUUCAGUGGGAGCACUGGGCGCAGAUGGAGGCCCUGGAGCAGGAGUGCAUUGAGGCACUAGGCCCAGGCAGUGAAGGCAGCAGACACUGACCGCUGGACCCUGGACACCCUCCUGGGCCUGGAGGUCAUGUCCCCCACUGCCCAGUUCCCGUCUAUGGCCCUGCAGGGCCCCUGGGUCCCACCCACUGUCCCACAUCAGGCCCCCGCCUGGCCCUGGGAGGUGGUCCUUCAGCGUCUCCUGCCCAUUGGGAAGGGCGGUCUAUGUGUUUAGGUGGGAGGGAUGAGAGUAAGGGUUUUGAAGGUAAUAAAGCUUAUAUGUUUCAACCAUGUUCAUGUCCUGAGAAUGGUGCUGGGGAUGGGCAGGUGGGUAGAGGGUGUGUAGGCAGUGGGGUAGGUGGGUUGGAGUGAGAGUGCAGGUAGACACCUGCCAAAAAUCACUUACUGUGUAUUAGAUUAAUGCACAAUGAAUUUAGUCAUGCUCAAAUGGACAUGUAGACAUGCCCUUACUGUACUACAUUAUUAACUGCUUUGUUAAAAACUUUGCUGGAGCUCCCCAAUUUCUACAACUAAAUAUGCUCUAGAAAUAAAUAAUUAUAUAUUUAAAA